rnacentral:pre_miRNA from 1 species
UGGAAGACUAAUGAUUUUGUGUUUGGUUAAAAUUUGUGGUUCUUAACAUAAAAUCUAAGUUUUCCGCA